UACGUAGGGUGCGAGCGUUAAUCGGAAUUACUGGGCGUAAAGCGUGCGCAGGCGGUUCGUCGUGUCAGAUGUGAAAGCCCCGGGCUCAACCUGGGAAUGGCAUUGGAAACUGGCGGGCUUGAGUGUGGCAGAGGGGGGUGGAAUUCCGCGUGUAGCAGUGAAAUGCGUAGAGAUGCGGAGGAACACCGAUGGCGAAGGCAGCCCCCUGGGCUAACACUGACGCUCAGGCACGAAAGCGUGGGGAGCAAACAGG
rnacentral:rRNA from 1 species